GUAUCCGAGUCUGGUUUGGAUAAGCGCUGAAAGCAUCUAAGUGCGAAGCCAUCCGCAAGAUUAGAACUCCUUUGAGGGUCGUUGUAGACGACGACGUUGAUAGGGUGUAGGUGUAAAGACAGUGAUGUCAAAGCCGAGCACUACUAAUUGCCCAAAGCUUUCAGACUA
rnacentral:rRNA from 1 species